rnacentral:lncRNA from 1 species
UGAGGCAAGUGUGAAAUAAACCACUUAUACAGAAGAGGAACACAUCACACAAUAGUCCCACCACCUUUAGAAUUCCUCAAAUGCAAAGAUAAAUACAUGUCGCCUAAUAGAGUAGGUACAAGAUUCCCAGACAAGAAGAUUCUAAUGGCGUUAACAUCAACAAAAUCGCCAAUGUUAGGGAACAAGGCCAAACCAUAGAUGAGCAACACAAAGAUGGAUUUAAAAGCAUCCACGCUACCGGCUUGAGCAAAGACGGUAGAUUUUCCAAUGAGAAACUCAUAAGUCAAC